UACAGAGGUCUCAAGCGUUGUUCGGAUUCAUUGGGCGUAAAGGGUGCGUAGGCGGCGAUGUAAGUCGGGUGUGAAAUUUCGGAGCUUAACUCCGAAACUGCAUUCGAUACUGCGGUGCUCGAGGACUGGAGAGGAGACUGGAAUUCAUGGUGUAGCAGUGAAAUGCGUAGAGAUCAUGAGGAAGACCAGUGGCGAAGGCGGGUCUCUGGACAGUUCCUGACACUGAGGCACGAAUGCCAGGGGAGCAAACGGG
rnacentral:rRNA from 1 species